rnacentral:rRNA from 1 species
AUCGCUUGUUGGUGGUAGCGAUCGAUAGAGUAAAAGAGGAGAAGGAGGGCGCUUGUGAGCGGCGGCGGUGGUUGCGGCCCGCUAAGGCUGAUGAAGGCCGUCAGCAACGGCCUUGACGUUUGGGUGCUCGAGAGUGCUGCCAAGAAGGAAGGGAGGCUGGUCUAGGCGAGGAGCACCGCCGUUCGCGAGCGCGCGUUGGGGAGGGGCGCCGAUCCCAAAGCCGACGGAGGUUGAGGCGUUGGCAGGAGGAGGUACCUGCUCCUGCUGGUGGUACCGUGCGUGCACCAGCUCAAGUGGCAGCGGAUGAGACCACGCCACGACCUGGUUCCUGGAGGCGGAGUUGUCUAGGAUCGAACCUAACCACCAGAGACUGAAACGUUGUCUACAAUAACACGUAUAGCCACUUCAGUAUAAGAUGAACGUGUUC